rnacentral:rRNA from 1 species
GUGUCAGCAGCCGCGGUAAUACGUAGGAUGCAAGCGUUGUUCGGAAUUACUGGGCGUAAAGAGUACGUAGGCGGUUUGAUAAGUCUGAUAUUAAAUACAGAAGCUUAACUUCUGAGCUGUAUCGGAAACUGUCAGACUAGAGGACAAUAGAGGAAGUCGGAAUUCUCAGUGUAGCGGUGAAAUGCGUAGAUAUUGGGAAGAACACCAGUGGCGAAAGCGGACUUCUGGGUUGUUACUGACGCUGAGGUACGAAAGCGUGGGGAGCAAACGGGAUUAGAUACCCCAGUAGUCC